CGGCUCUACUAUCGAUAUGAAUUUUUAUUGACAGCUUCGUCUUAGCAGCCCUGGAUCAAAAUCAACUGUUGUGUUGUAGGCAAACGUUUUUGGUUGAUCGCACAGGACUGCAACGCAAUUAUGGUCAUCACCAACAACACAACACUGCCCGAGGAGUCGGAGCUGAACGUCCAGGAGCUAAAUCUCUCGUCGGCGGCCUUACGGGCGGGCGCCUUUCAUUUGGGCAAGCAAUGCGAGCAGGCCAAUAAUGAGUUUAUGCUGUGCCGGCAGGAGCUGGAUGACCCGCGCGCCUGUUUGGCGGAGGGCAAAGCCGUGACCAGCUGCGCCCUGGACUUCUUCCGCAAGGUGAAGAAGACCUGCCAUGAGGAGUUCACGCAGUACGCCACCUGCCUGGACAAGAGCAGCGGUACUAUGGCCUUUUCACAGUAAGCUCUCCUUGCCGCAAGACCCAGGGAGUGUUCGACAAGUGUAUCAAGGAUAACUUCGACUGGGAUCGUCCCUCCUAUGGAUACUUUUCGCGGGCCAAGGUCAUCCAAUCAGCUCGCGAAGCACCCAAGAAGGAGGAGAAGGUCUCCUAUCCCGAUGCCACCCCCGGUCUGCCCGAGGAUUACCCCAAGCCGCCAGCAAAGUACGGUUCCCGCUUCCACUGGCUGGAAUAGACAGCUGCCAGCGCCUAGUGAAAUUUGAAAGCGUUCAUCUUAAUAUAAACUCUUGUUUCCAUUAGUA